AUUGAACGCUGGCGGAAUGCUUUACACAUGCAAGUCGAACGGCAGCACGGACUUCGGUCUGGUGGCGAGUGGCGAACGGGUGAGUAACAUACCGGAACGUAUCCAAUAAUGGGGGAUAACGAGUCGAAAGAUUCGCUAAUACCGCAUACGCCCUACGGGGGAAAGCUGGGGACCUUCGGGCCUGGCGUUAAUGGAGCGGCCGAUAUCUGAUUAGCUAGUUGGUGAGGUAAAGGCUCACCAAGGCGACGAUCAGUAGCUGGUCUGAGAGGACGACCAGACACACGGGAACUGAGACACGGUCCAGACUCCUACGGGAGGCAGCAGUGGGGAAUUUUGGACAAUGGGCGCAAGCCUGAUCCAGCCAUUCCGCGUGAGUGAAGAAGGCCUUCGGGUUGUAAAGCUCUUUCGCAAGAGAAGAAAACUUAGCCACUAACAUUGGUUGAGGUUGACGGUACCUUGAUAAGAAGCACCGGCUAACUACGUGCCAGCAGCCGCCGUAA
rnacentral:rRNA from 1 species